rnacentral:rRNA from 1 species
GACGAACGCUGGCGGCGUGCCUAACACAUGCAAGUCGAGCGGGGUUGAAGCGAGGGGUAACUCGAGUUUCUACCUAGCGGCGGACGGGUGAGUAACGCGUGGGCAACCUGCCUCAAGGACUGGGAUAACAGCUCGAAAGGGCUGCUAAUACCGGAUAAGCCUAUGGCCUCGCAUGGGGCCAUGAGCAAAGGGGAAACCCGCCUUGAGAUGGGCCCGCGUCCCAUCAGCUAGUUGGUGAGGUGAAGGCUCACCAAGGCGACGACGGGUAGCCGGCCUGAGAGGGUGACCGGCCACACUGGGACUUGAGACACGGCCCCAGACUCCUACGGGGGCAGCAGUGGGAAUCUUGCACAAUGGGCGAAAGCCUGAUGCAGCGACGCCGCGGUGAGCGAAGAAGGCCUUCGGUUGUUAAAGGCUCUGUCUGGAGGGACGAAGGAAGUGACGGUACCUCCGGAGGAAGCCGAGGCUAACUACGUGCCAGCAGCCGCGGUAAAGUCACGUC